UGGGGAAUUUUGGACAAUGGGCGCAAGCCUGAUCCAGCAAUGCCGCGUGCAGGAUGAAGGCCUUCGGGUUGUAAACUGCUUUUGUACGGAACGAAAAGGCUCUGGUUAAUACCUGGGGCUCAUGACGGUACCGUAAGAAUAAGCACCGGCUACUACGUGCCAGCAGCCGCGGUAAUACGUAGGGUGCAAGCGUUAAUCGGAAUUACUGGGCGUAAAGCGUGCGCAGGCGGUGAUGUAAGACAGGUGUGAAAUCCCCGGGCUUAACCUGGGAAUUGCAUUUGUGACUGCAUCGCUGGAGUGCGGCAGAGGGGGAUGGAAUUCCGCGUGUAGCAGUGAAAUGCGUAGAUAUGCGGAGGAACACCGAUGGCGAAGGCGAUCCCCUGGGCCUGCACUGACGCUCAUGAACGAGAGCGUGGGGAGAAAACA
rnacentral:rRNA from 1 species